CUCCCAGUGCACAGGGCUGGGGCCACUGCCGGGCCUUCAGUUCCACACUGGCAUGUGUGCUGUGCCCUUGGGUGCCUUUGGCUCCUGUUGGUCAGGCGAUAACUGUCCCCGUGGGCCUCUGGUGGCCCAAGGACAGCAUCAGGAAAACCAAAGGACUGCAGCUGCAGGGAGAUAGGCCCUGAGCCCCACUGCCUUCCCUUGUCCAUGUAACUGUGUCCUUGUCAAAAAUACAAUGACCAGCCUCUGCUUGGUGACCAUUUGGUUGUGUAAUAGUGUUCAGAGACUACUCUGUCCCUUGUUCAUUUUGUCCCAUUUAAGUCUCUGGGCUCAGACACAGCCCUGCCAGUACUUUCUGAAGCAAAGCCACGGUCCAGGGAGGAAGCUGCUUUCUAUAGGCCCGAGGCUCAGCCCAGAAGCCCCCAGGUCCCCUCCGACGGGAACUGGACCCCUCACCUCUGCGGGUAAUCCAGCAACCCCACACCUCUGGAACUGAGUAUCUGCCCUGGAGAGCUGAGUGAGGGACACUGCUGUCCCAUGAGGCUUUCCCUUACUUCAGUCAAAGGAAUGGUCUUUAGACAUGUAUUUUUCCGGAAAAUUUCCUGGGUUCUCAUGUCAGUUGCUUCCUAGAGUCUCCUGAGACUUUUUGUGUGUGUGUGUGUAUGUGGUUGUUGGCUUUUUCUGUGACCCUCAGGAGAUAGGGCAGGUGUGGAGUGAAAUACGUAAUUUCACUGGAAAGGAGUCAUGAGUCAAAACUCACUUGGAGGGUUACUAAGCCAGAAAGCAUCAGAGUUGCUGAAUUAAGCCAGAGCCAAGGGACUUGCCUCAACAUCCCAUCAUCAGUGAGAAGUGGCCAUGUCACCAGUAUAAGCUGUCACCUCACUCUUGCAACCAUCCGCUCUUUCUGUUCAUCCUCCCGUGUGGCUCCGCUGCACUGCUGGUUGAAAUCACUGCAUUUUAUGUGCGCAUCACACUCCCACCUCCUGUCCUUCUGACGCAUGCUCAAAAGCAACCUCUUCUGGGUCCAAGGCCUCUGUGGUCCUGUCAGAGGCCUUGGUGCUGAAGAGUGUCCUGAGCAUCUGCGCUGAUCCAAGGAUUCUUGGAUUGGGCCUCUUCUGGUUUGGGUGGGUUGGAGAGAAUGACGAGAUGUAGUUAACAGUUACAUCCCGACCCUGUUGUGGUUGAGUGUGUGUGCAUGGGUGUGUGUGUUCUCUUUCUAAGCAGAGCUUGGGUGAGGGCAGGCAGUGGUGGUGACUCUCUCUCUGUCCAGUUGCAGGCCCCGGGCAUUCUGUCUGGCGGACAGCGAUGAGGAAUCCUCCAGCGCUGGCUCCUCCGAGGAAGACGAUGCCCCAGAGCCCAGCGGGGGAGACAAACAGCUCCUCCCAGGGGCUGAAGGGUACGUUGGAGGUCAUCGAACAAGUAAGAUUAUGAGGUUUGUUGAUAAAAUUACCAAGUCAAAAUAUUUCCAAAAAGCAACAGAGACAGAGUUUAUUAAAAAGAAGAUCGAAGAAGUCUCCAACACACCCCUGCUGCUCACUGUUGAAGUACAAGAAUGUAGAGGAACCUUGGCGGUCAACAUUCCACCACCCCCGACUGACCGAGUAUGGUAUGGUUUCCGAAAGCCACCACAUGUGGAGCUGAAAGCUCGGCCAAAACUUGGAGAGAGAGAAGUGACUUUAGUUCAUGUGACAGACUGGAUAGAGAAGAAACUGGAGCAAGAGUUUCAGGUAAACCUCUAGUGUUAUCUAGUAUUUCACACCAAGUAUAGAAGCUCUGGGUUUAGCCGAGGUUCUGAACUUCAGCUGGGUCAGGAUCCUCUUUUGAAAAUCUGAUGGUGACCUUCAUCCCGGAAGAGUAUUACAUUUGAUCAAAUAUGGGAAUAAAACUUCAGGUACAGUAUCAAAGCCCUGAAACUUAUCCACAGAACAUUACUAAGUCAUCUUCAGAGGAAACCCAAAAGAUUUGGGUCAGAGCAAAAUGAUGAUGUCUUUUCCCAGCAAGCCUGCCAGGACUGUCAGGCUUUGUUUUCUCUUAUGCAAGGCCUGGCCUUGCCCAACUCUUAGCACCCGGCCUGUGGGCAGGGAGGCUGCCCCCUGUUCUUGUGUGCUGUUCACCUUGCUCAGUUUGUUCAGUUCAACAAACAUUCCUGGAAACCCUUCUGUGUGCCAGGUACCACCUGCCCUGGGAGUCCAAAGAUGAAUCUGGCCUCUCCCUCCCCUGGGUAGCUUCUAGUGUAGUCUGGGAGUUCAUUAAGCCAGAGCUUACUCUCUCAGCUUUUCUUUCUGCAUUUGGCCACCAAAGGUAAUAGCAGUAUAGCUGAGGCCCUAGGAUGAGCUAUUUCCAUCAAACUUUUAUCAGAUAUUUGAAGCACAGUUGUCUGUCGGGGUUUUAUGGAUUAGCAAACUAUUUACUUUUAAUGAAAUUCACCUUUUGAAGAAGACCUACAUUCUUUUUGCAGUGGUAUAUUUUGAGUUACUGCCUUAAAAAAAUCCUCUUAUUUAAAAACUAGAGAUUAAACAUAACUGAUAACCAAUUUCUGAAAAAGCUUAAUGUCAUCACCAAAUAGAAAAGUACUUUGAACCUACUGAGGGGAAAGAACAUCAUGCCUUUUAUUUUUCCCUUUUUCUUUCUUUUUUUUUUUUUUUUUUUUAAGACAGAGUCUUGCUGUGUCGCCCAGGCUGGAGUGCAAUGGCGCCAUCUCGGCUCACUGCAAACUCCGUCCCCCAGGUUCACACCAUUCUCAUGCCUCAGCCUCCCGAGUAGCUGGGACUACAGGCACCCGCCACCACACCCAGCUAAUUUUUUGUAUUUUUAGUAGAGAUGGGGGUUUCACUGUAUUAGCCAGGAUGGUCUCGAUCUCCUAACCUCGUGAUCUGCCCACCUCGGCCUCCCAAAGUGCUGGGAUUACAGGUGUGAGCUACCAUGCCUGGCCUAAUUUUUUGGUAUUUUUAGUUGAGACAGGGUUUCACCAUGUUGGCCAGGCUGGUCUUGAACUCUGGACCUCAGAUGAUCUGCCUGCCUUGGCCUCCCAAAGUACUGGGAUUACAGGCGUGAACCAUCGCACCUGGCCAUUAGCUUACAUUUUAUCGCUAGGAUUUAUUAAUAAAAGGAUAAUUCACAUGGAAUAUGUGUUCUAGACAUAGUAACUGGGAACUACUGUGAACAGCUUAAGCCAAUUCUCUUAAAUUGUUGGAUAUAUAUCAGUGCAUAUGGGCAACCUUAUUAUAUGUAUACAAAAUCAAAGGCCACUUCUGCCUCCGAGCUGAUAUAUUAGAGGAUUCUCGUAUCCAUGCGCUGGUAUGAUUCCUCAACUCUUUCUAAAGUAUGUAUGGUGGGAGAAUUAGUUUGGAAUGCAUAGCAAGUUUUUAUAUGUACUUUUAAAAAUCAGUCUAAGCCCUAAAAUUAUCAGAACAAAGGAGGGUGACAGCCUGGCAAGGCAUUCUUCCACAUAGCUGUUCUUUAAUAUCUUCCUACAGAAAGUUUUUGUCAUGCCAAACAUGGAUGAUGUUUAUAUCACUAUAAUGCACUCAGCCAUGGACCCUCGCUCUACUUCCUGCCUCCUGAAAGACCCACCUGUGGAGGCUGCUGAUCAGCCAUGAUGGGUGAUGUCAGAUGUUCCCCAUAUUGUGACAUCGAGCUGGAUGUGUGGGGUUCUUGGCCGCCAUCUGUACUGUAGCACUGGCCUCUGUGCCACAGCUACUGUUUCUUAAAGGACUGCUUCUGCCCUCUGCCUGCCAGUGCCCAUUCCACUGUGAGGUGUCAUUCCCUGCAUCUAGUGACAACUGUCUGGAUUGCCUGCUGCAAAGCUUUGAUUUGGCAAAGGAGACCAUGGAAGAAUCAUGGUGGAUCCAGAAGUUAUACGUGACCCACACCAUGGCUUUUAAAAGUCUACCCAUGUUUGUGGCAGCAAAUGAGCACAGUAAGAGCAAAGCUGAACAACUUGCCUCCUCUACUCCUCCAAAGCUUUUCUUCAGGCAGCCGGUGCACAGUGGACUUUUUCACUUCUAUACUUUGUAUGCGGCCUUCCACACUUCCAGAGAAUGUCAGUGUGCAAUGUGUCUGGAGGGUGGGGAGAGGAAUUCUGUGAGCCUUUUCAUUUCGGUGACAGAAGAGAUGGGCAGAGCAACUUAUUUUCCACAUUAAAUUGUGCAUUUGGGAAGCAAGUAGCCAUAGUACACACACAACACGCUAUCAGCUUGGGUAAGGACAGUGGGAUUUAUGUGAACAUCAGGCAAAGCCAUGAGAUCAAACCAUCCCAAGCCUUUCACCAAUGAGGUACAACCACCUGGGGGCUAGCUAAUCUUGAAUGUUUUCCUGAGACAGGAGCGUAUGUGAAAACAUCAAACACUGCACAUGACAGGAUGGGUCCUCUCAUACAGAUGGGAUGGGGUUAGAAAGCCAGAGCCAGUUUUUCCAUCUGGCGUUUCCUGUGUCCUCCAGGUUUAUAUGGGAAUCGAAACAGUUUGUUAAUCUGAUUGGGAGAGUUCCAUGGGCAGAUUUCCCUUCCUGAAGGCCAAAACGGAGAACUGCUCUCUUUAAUUAUUUCAAGAGUCAAGACCAAAAGUUUGCUCAGCAUCACACUACAUCUCAAAAUUAAUGUUGCCAACUUAAUUUUGUGCAUUUGUGUCAGAAUGUUUAGUUUACAAGGUUGGGGGCUCUCUUUGCUUCGAGAAGUAAACCUAAUACCAUUUUUUUAUUGUUUAAAGCUGCAUUCAACGUCAAAAUUACCUUGGGUAACUUUUGAUAACUUACAUGUGUGGACAAAGCUAAUAGUGGUUUUUUAAACAGCACCUUGCCUGAACAUGACUUUAAAGAAAUUAAUAUAUUGAAAACAUGUUUGAACCCUUAUUUUAAUUGCACCAUUAAAACAUUUGACUUAAAUUGUUUGACCAUUCCAGUUGGUGUACUGUUCUGAUUUUUCGUUGUGUAGGCCGAUCUGCCUGUCAGAGUCCACGUGUCCUGGUCACUGGUCUUUAUAAUUGUUGUGCAAUAACUAAAGGCUAAGGACUAGAUGCACUAUCGUGUAAAGAGAUUACACAUGACUGUACCAUGUUGCACUUAAUCAAAUAGUAUGUGGGGAUUUAAAAUCGCUUGCAUUGUUUCACAAAAUAAAUAUCUCAAUGUCAA
rnacentral:lncRNA from 1 species